UACGUAGGUGGCAAGCGUUGUCCGGAAUUAUUGGGCGUAAAGCGCGCGCAGGUGGGAUCUUAAGUCUGUUCUGAAAGUUCGGAGCUCAACUCCGUGAUGGGAUGGAAACUGGGAUUCUUGAGUACCGGAGAGGAAAGCGGAAUUCCCCGUGUAGCGGUGAAAUGCGUAGAUAUGGGGAGGAACACCAGUGGCGAAGGCGGCUUUCUGGACGGUGUCUGACACUGAGGCGCGAAAGCUAGGGGAGCGAACGGG
rnacentral:rRNA from 1 species